rnacentral:rRNA from 1 species
UGCAGUCGAGCGAGAAAGGGACUUCGGUCCUGAGUACAGCGGCGGACGGGUGAGUAAUACGUAGGUAACCUGCCCUUGAGUUGGGGACAACGGUCCGAAAGGACCGCUAAUACCGAAUUCGUUCUCUGGGACUCCGGUCCUGGAGAGGAAAGCUGCCCGCAAGGGUGGCGCUCGAGGAGGGGCCUAUGUCGCAUCAGCUAGUUGGUGGGGUAAUGGCCUACCAAGGCUAAGACGCGUAGCUGGUCUGAGAGGAUGAUCAGCCACACUGGGACUGAGACACGGCCAGACUCCUACGGGAGGCAGCAGUGGGGAAUAUUGGACAAUCGGGGGCAACCUGAUCCAGCACA